GUUAAGUGAAUAAGGGCGCACGGUGGAUGCCUUGGCACUAGGAGCCGAUGAAGGACGGGACUAACACCGAUAUGCUUCGGGGAGCUGUAAGUAAGCUUUGAUCCGGAGAUUUCCGAAUGGGGAAACCCAGCAUCUUUUAUAGGAUGUUACUUUUCAGUGAAUACAUAGCUGAUUAGAGGUAGACGCAGAGAACUGAAACAUCUAAGUACCUGCAGGAAGAGAAAGAAAAAUCGAUUCCCUGAGUAGCGGCGAGCGAAACGGGAAAAGCCCAAACCAAGAGGCUUGCCUCUUGGGGUUGUAGGACUCCGAUAUGGUAGUCCAGUGAGAUAGUCGAGGGACCUGGAAAGGUCUGCUAGAAAGGGUAAAAGCCCCGUAGACAAAAUUUGACUGGCACCUAGGAGGAUCCUGAGUACGGCGGAACACGAGGAAUUCCGUCGGAAUCCGGGAGGACCAUCUCCCAAGGCUAAAUACUCCAUAGUGACCGAUAGUGAACCAGUACCGUGAGGGAAAGGUGAAAAGCACCCCGGAAGGGGAGUGAAACAGAUCCUGAAACCGUGUGCCUACAACAAGUUAUAGCCCGUUAAUGGGUGAUAGCGUGCCUUUUGUAGAAUGAACCGGCGAGUUACGAUUACUUGCGAGGUUAAGUUGAAAAGACGGAGCCGCAGCGAAAGCAAGUCUGAAUAGGGCGAAUGAGUAAGUGGUCGUAGACCCGAAACCAUGUGAUCUACCCAUGUCCAGGUUGAAGGUGCGGUAAAACGCACUGGAGGACCGAACCCACGUACGUUGAAAAGUGCGGGGAUGAGGUGUGGGUAGCGGAGAAAUUCCAAACGAACUUGGAGAUAGCUGGUUCUCUCCGAAAUAGCUUUAGGGCUAGCCUCAGAGUAAGAAUGAUGGAGGUAGAGCACUGUUUGGACUAGGGGCCCAUCUCGGGUUACCGAAUUCAGAUAAACUCCGAAUGCCAUCCAUUCAUCUCUGGGAGUCAGACUGUGAGUGAUAAGAUCCAUAGUCGAAAGGGAAACAGCCCCAGACCACCAGCUAAGGUCCCCCAAAUAACUAUUAAGUGGAAAAGGAUGUGGGGUUGCACAGACAACUAGGAUGUUGGGUUAGAAGCAGCCACCAUUUAAAGAGUGCGUAAAUAGCUCACNUAGUCGGUGUGACCCUUGGCGCCGGAAAAAUGGUACCGGGGGGCUAAAAUAAGUUUUAACCGGAAAGACUGUUGGAAAACACCACCCCAAUGGGUUGUGUUUGGGUAGGCAAGAGGCGUUCCUAAAGGGGGCGUUGAAAGGGUAGCAUCGGUGGAGGGACUGGCUGGAGGCGGCUUAAGAAAGUGAAGAAAUGCCGGGGUAUGAAGUAGGCGAAAAGAACAGGGUGAAGAAAUCCUGUCNNCACCCGAAAUGACCUAAAGGUUUUCCCUGGGGGAAGGCUCCGUCNNCGCCCCAGGGUNNUAGUACGGGACNUAAGCCGAGGGGCCGAAAGGNCGUAGGCGAUGGAUAACAGGUUGAUAUUCCUGUACCCGUUGUUUUUGUUUGAGCAAUGGAGGGACGCAGGAGGCUAAGGAAUCAGACGAUUGGAGAUGUCUGUCCAAGCAAUGAGUCUUGAUGUGAGUCAAAUGCUUACAUCUCUAAGGACAAGUUGUGAUGGGGAGGGAAAUAACAGUACCGAAGUUCCUGAUGUCACACUGCCGAGAAAAGCUUCUAGUGAGAAAACAAUGGCCCGUACCGCAAACCGACACAGGUAGUCGAGGAGAGAAUCNUAAGGUGAGCGAGAGAACUCUCGUUAAGGAACUCGGCAAAAUGACCCCGUAACUUCGGGAGAAGGGGUGCUGAUCUAACGAUCAGCCGCAGUGAAUAGGCCCAAGCGACUGUUUAUCAAAAACACAGGUCUCUGCAAAAUCGAAAGAUGACGUAUAGGGGCUGACGCCUGCCCGGUGCUGGAAGGUUAAGAGGAGUGCUUAGCGUAAGCGAAGGUACGAAUUGAAGCCCCAGUAAACGGCGGCCGUAACUAUAACGGUCCUAAAGUAGCGAAAUUCCUUGUCGGGUAAGUUCCGACCCGCACGAAAGGCGUAACGAUUUGGGCACUGUCUCAACGAGAGACUCGGUGAAAUUUUAGUACCUGUGAAGAUGCAGGUUACCCGCGACAGGACGGAAAGACCCCAUGGAGCUUUACUGCAGUUUGAUAUUGAGUGUUUGUACCACGUGUACAGGAUAGGUAGGAGCCGUAGAAGUCGGGACGCUAGUUUCGACAGAGGCGCUGGUGGGAUACUACCCUUGUGUUAUGACCACUCUAACCCGCACCACUAAUCGUGGUGGGAGACAGUGUCAGAUGGGCAGUUUGACUGGGGCGGUCGCCUCCUAAAGAGUAACGGAGGCGCCCAAAGGUUCCCUCAGAAUGGUUGGAAAUCAUUCGCAGAGUGUAAAGGCACAAGGGAGCUUCACUGCGAGACCUACAAGUCGAGCAGGGACGAAAGUCGGGAAUAGUGAUCCGGUGGUUCCGCAUGGAAGGGCCAUCGAUCAACGAAUAAAAGCAAUCACUAGUGAAUUC
rnacentral:rRNA from 1 species